rnacentral:rRNA from 1 species
UAGGGAAUCUUCGGCAAUGGGGGGAACCCUGACCGAGCAACGCCGCGUGAGUGAAGAAGGUUUUCGGAUCGUAAAGCUCUGUUGUUAAGGAAGAACGAGUGUGAGAAUGGAAAGUCCAUACUGUGACGGUACUUAACCAGAAAGGGACGGCUAACUACGUGCCAGCAGCCGCGGUAAUACGUAGGUCCCGAGCGUUGUCCGGAUUUAUUGGGCGUAAAGCGAGCGCAGGCGGUUAGAUAAGUCUGAAGUUAAAGGCAGUGGCUCAACCAUUGAAGGCUUUGGAAACUGUUUAACUUGAGUGCAGAAGGGGAGAGAGGAAUUCCAUGUGUAGCGGUGAAAUGCGGAGAUAUAUGGAGGAACACCGGUGGCGAAAGCGGCUCUCUGGUCUGUAACUGACGCUGAGGCUCGAAAGCGUGGGGAGCGAACAGG